UAGCUCAGCUGGUAGAGCAUGGUGCUAGCAACGCCAGGGUUCUGGGUUCGAUUCCCACG
rnacentral:tRNA from 1 species